CAAGGAGUCAGAUAUGGGACAGGAGUUUAAUCUGCUAUACAAAAGAAUUUCCUGAUCUAGAAAAGUUACUUUUUUAAAACCAUCGUUUCUACCUAGGAAUUUUCCAUGGCAGUGGAAUAUUGGUUCAAGACUUUAAAAGAUCUCUUACAGCAUAUGAGAUGCAAAGAAGAAAAGAUGGGAGAAAAGAGGUAAAGGAGAAGAGAGGACCCCAGCAUCAGCUGUUCUCCCUGGGCUAGCUCAUCCUCAGGCUCCAUGAGACUGUCUUUCUUACCUGUUGCCGUGAUUUGGUGACAAAAAGACCAUUUCCAGCCAUAGCGACAGAAUGAGAGUGGCCCACCAGGUCGGACCAUCCUCCCUGGAACAGUUCUUCUUCAAACACCAUGGGAUUUUCUCUAUUGUUUGCUGCAGUGAUUCAGUGAUAAGCAUCAUCACCAGCCAAGCAACAGAAUGAGGUAGGAUGUGAUUUUCAAGUCACUGUCCUAUUUAUUUAUGCAAAUGCUUGACUGGUUAACCCCAGUGGUUAACAGGACGCUAGAUGCCAGGUAUCAGGGAGCGUUCUUCCUGGCACAGUGAACCACAAUAAGCAUUUAUAUAUUCCUAUAGAUCCUAGUGCUUUCUUAGGUUGAACCUAGUUUCUUCUUGGACAAGUCCCAGGCUUGUCUGGAGCAUAGCUCACCGCCUUCCCUUGCCCAGACUCAGACCUUGACUCUAACAUGUCCACUGGGCCCAUGAUUCCAGGCCAUGUCUUGGGUUAAACAUUGCUCUCUGACCCUCCCUGCCUUUUCGUGGCCCUGAAGAGGAGAAACUCGAAGUACAAGUUCUAGGGGAGCAUUCCAAAGUACAGAUGACGGGAAUGGCCUACUGCCUUGCCCUAUCAGGAAAUCACCUACAGGGAAUCCAAUGUGGGAAGGAGUGGCAGUAACAGGGUAGGUCUCUUCUAAAAUUAAGAUAGGCAACAUGAGAUGUUUAAAGACAUGGAGAAGAGAGGGGAGUCCAACCAGAAGUAGCUGAAUGGCAGACAGCCACACCAAAUAUGAGAAAGGGAGAGGGAGAAGAAAAGAGUGAGAAGUGGAAGUGGAGAAAAGAGGGGGAAAGACUACCAGAGGGGGUAGAGUAAGAGUGUGUAGAAAAAGGAGUGAGAGAAAAGGAAAUGAAGAAGAGUAGUUGGAGGAACUAAAGGUUAAGAAGGAAUAUACUAACCAUCUCUAAGCAUCUGAAAGUGGAAGGGAUCUAUCUGA
rnacentral:lncRNA from 1 species